rnacentral:lncRNA from 1 species
CGGGAUUUUAUAAAUUUGAUUGUACGUAAAUAUGAUGUGUGUGGUCGUAUUUGUUUGGUUAAUCUUCUUAAUUUUGUGUUUAUUUAUUUUUAAGCAGGAUUAUUAUGUUUUAAGAUAUGUGGUUAGUUGGGCCCAAGCAGUUUAAACCUAUUUGGUUGUUUUAUUAGUUAUUUUAUUCUAAUUCAGACUUAAGUUCGAGUAAUAUA